UUUUAAUACUCGUUCUCACUUUAAAUUCCACCAGGGAGGGGUUUGGGAAGCGCUGCGCUUUGGGGGUGCGUUUGGCGCUUCCCCGUCUCUCCAACCUCUGAGUCGUGAGCUGGCGGUCGCUUCGCGAGGAGCGACGAUUUUAAAGAGCAGAAUAAAGGCUUUUCUGUGCCUGCCCCGCAGCCCCUCCAGCCUGAAUAAUGGGAACAGUCAAUGCACUCGGCAAGCGGCGGCCCAUUGUACGCGGCUGAUGGAGAGGAGGCGACUGGGGCCAGCGGGGGCUCCUUGCCCUUGUCCCUCUCCCCAAAUAAACGCGCUCACGUCUCCUGGUCAGUUAAAAGUGCAGAGACAAGCAGCCGAGGGCAGGCAGAGGACGCAGGCAGAGAGGGAGACAGAGAGAAAAGGAAUGAGAACGAGGAGGGAGACGGAGCGAGUGGACGCGGAGGCGAGAGCGAGCGCCAGGGAGUGGAAGGUCCGCUGGCCGCCGGUGCGCAGGCCCAGCCGCCCCCGCACCCUGGACCGAGAGCCGCGGGCACCGGAAGCGAGACUCUGCCAAGUCCUGCCGCACCAGGCAAGGACCGAGCAGCGGAAAUACCACCAGCCUCCGCCAAACUCGUGAGGACGUGAGGACCGAUGGCAGGGGGACUGGUGCUCCAGAUGUUGCACGAGAGGCGCUGCAAGUGUGAGCAGGUGACAGUAGACCUACAUUACAGGUUGUAGCAGAUGUUCUCAACAUCUCUAUUGAAAUUUCCUUAUCUUCACUUGCAAGAGGAGCCCCAGGAUUCAUCCCUGUGGUAGCUGCAAUGAGCUGGUAUGAUGCCAUGCUUUCCCACCUCAUCCUUUGUUUUGGCGGAGGAUCUGGGUUAGAAUUUAGCUGUUUGUUAUUGCAAACAAGUAUGUAGAACGGAAGAUGGAAUGUUUCAAUAAUAUUAAUAUUGUGAUUUCUUUGAGAUUGCGUACCACCUGUUCACAGAACCCCCAUAUAGUGAGUGCCUUGCUUAUAGAUAGUUAGCAUUGUGAGUUUGUCUGAAUUAUGCCUAGUUGUUAACUCUUUCUCAUUCAUCUUUAGCAGAUGUUAAUCUAACCUUUUAUUUUUUUAAAUAAUAAAGAAACACAUAACAUUAAUUUUACUUAUACUUAAAAACUACAUCUUUGCGUAAUGUUUAACCAGCUCUUCAACUCUUAUGGGGAUUGAGCAGGCAACUGAUAAAAUUUCAUAUCAGAAAUAUUUAAUUACAAAACCUUUGCAUGUAUUAGUAUGAAUGAACACUGUAGCUAGUAACAAAAAUAUUUUUCUUCAUAACAAGUUGACAUAUUUUUGAGAAUUCUGGAAAUGUCAAAGUAGUUUUGCCUGUAGUCAUAUUACACUUAAUGCUAUUGAGAAUAUCGCUAACAUUAACAAAAAUAUUCUUAAUUUCCUCAGUUAUUGCUACUUGUGAUGAGGAAUGUAAAAUUGACAUGCUUUCAAGUUUGGAGCAUUUUCAUUAUAUACUUCUGAUUUUACAUGUCAGAAGCAAUCUCUUUUAUCUAAGACAGCUCAGAAGAUUUUUAUUUAAGGAUAGAGGUCAGGCUCUGAUUGUAUUUUUAGUUCAGUAAAUAUAGAAUACAGUGAAUGUGUCUAAGGAAAUGCAUGUGCAACUUUGUAUGUAAGUAUUAUACAGUGUUUAUAUAUUUCUGUGGCUUUAUUUGUAGGCCAUCAGAACAUAGUGGCUUGGGAUCAAGGCACAAGUUUAAUUUCUAUGUUGAUUAUUUAAUUUAGUUGUUUUCUGUAACUACUGGUAACUAACACUCAUCCUGCAGAUAAAAGCUUUCGUUCACCAGGGAACUUUGGCAAGGAAACUGGCUCGAUCAGCAAGUCCAUUUCCAUUGUGGAAAAACAACUUGAAACUCAUCUCUACGGAUGGGUAUAAACAAAUCCCAAGAUCACAGACUGGUAGGACUGAUGCUCACUGAAGGCAGAUGAAAGGCCUAACUGUAAGAAGGGGUUCCUUUACUACAGUGUGCUUGUCUGGUUUUGAUAUCAGGGUACUCAUUAUAAUUGGAGAGCAUGUAAAGAGCUUCCCAGACAAGAAAAAGCUAAAGGAAUUCAUCACUACCAAACCAACAUUACAUGAAAUAUUAAAGGGUCUUCUUUAAGAAGAAGAAAAAGAAAAAGGUAAAAGUAUAAACAAUAAAAUGGCAAUACAUGCAUAUCUAUCAACAAUUGAAUCUAAAAAAUGAAAUAAAUGAAUAAGCAGAGCAGAAACAGACUUAUAGAUACAGAGAAUAUUUUGACUGUUGCCAGAUGAAAAUGGUGUUGGGGGCGACGAGUGAAAAAGGUGAAGGGAUUAAGAAAUAUACAUUAGUAGCUGCAGAAUAGUCAUGGGAUAUAAAGUACGGCAUAGGGAAUAUAGUCAAUAAUAUUGUAAUAACUAUGUAUAGUGUUAAAUGGGUACUAGAUUUAUUGGGGUGAUCACUUAGUAAGUUAUAUAAUAUCUAAUCACUGGGAUGUGCACCUGAAAAUAAUAUAAUAUUGUAUGUAUGUCAACUGUAAUUAAAAAAUUAAAGUGAUUUAAAAAUAUAUUCAAUUUUAGAAAACAACAAAAACAUAAAGUUAAGCAUAUACUAAAAACAAUCUUUUAUAAGUGGACCUGUAAAAUUCAAACCCAUGUUGUUCAAGGGUCAACUAACUGUAUUAUCAUUUCAUCUGUUUAUUAAUGAAGUACUGUGACUUUUCCAAAUGUUUAAUUUUAUAAUUUACAUACUUAUUUUGGUCGAAGAAGUAUAAAAAUCACGGGUUCUCUUUUAAACUAAGGAUAUGUAGAAGCUUUAUUUUGCCACAGAGGGAGAGCACUAUGUUAUUCUUGUGUUUUAGCUAUGACUAAUCUACAUUUUGCUCACUUAAACAAUUUCCUUUGUUUUUGAUGGAAGGUGAGAAUUUAUUGGGAUUCAUUGGAGGAGUCUCCAUCACUGUGUGUGCCAAUCCACUUACGAAUAUACUGUUACUCUUGAAAAAAAAUUUGAAGUUCAUAGAAUGAUAAUCUGGCCCUAGAUUGAAUACUUUCUAACUUAGAUCAAGGAAUUCUUCAGUAGAACUUGUAAAUUUCUUCUUGUUGAAUGAAAAAGGAGGAUAGUAAUACAAUAAAAUUACUUUUGUUUGAUCUGAUUAAAAUUUUAAUGACUAGUCUACUUGUCUAGAAAUUUUCCCUUGGAUAAUUAAGUGUGGUGAAUAUGUGAAAAUGAAGUUGUGAAUUAAACAACUUUUUUUUUUUUUUUUUUACGUGUAGCUUUCAUUCUUCAGAAAUAGGACAAUAUGGAAGUGUUCAUUAACAAAAAAGUAGAGACUAGUCAAAACAAAUCUAUUUCCAACCUUAAAACAUGAAAAAAUAAACAGUUAAAAGUUGAAGUAUUAUAAACAAAUUUUAGUUUUUGAGAAUGUGGCAACUAUUAUAAUAAUAUGUAUGUAGGUAGUUCUGUUUCCAAAUAAAUAGACCACAUUUUCUUUUUGAACUAUGUGAUUUAUAUGGAGCUUAUUAGGACAUAUAUAUUACUAUAAAUAAUUGUGAAUAUGAAUUUGUUCUUAAAAACCCCGAUUCUUAAUAUUCAGAUUUUAGGUACAGUAAUGCUCAGUUUUUGUUUCUAUAAAUAGGAUUUUUUAAAAAUCUUGGCUAGGAGAAAUGUCAGUUUGUACUUAGUCAUCAUAGAUGAGUAAUAUUCUAGAAACUCUUUCUCCUAGUUUAGACUUCUUAAUGUUAUUUUAGUGUAUUUUUUCAGUCACAGUGUAUUGUAUUUUAAGUGUUAUGUUGAACAAAAUGUGUAGUAACAGUUGUUGUAGAGUCCUUUCCUAUAAAAGAUCACAAAUGUAAUAGAGUUGGGUAUCUCUAUGUCAAACAUUAAGAGUUACUGGGCAAUAGCAACAGACAGGAGGCUCUAAAUAGCAUUGUUUUAGUAGAGGAUGGGGAUGUGAUAUUAACUAUCAAGCAUGUUAUUACCAAAAUUCAGUAUAGAAAUAAAAAUUAAGGGUCCUCUCAGCAUCCUAAAAUGUUAUUUUGUUUCAUUAAAAAUUUUUAAUAGCCUACCAAACUAUCCUAAUGUACCUUAAAUCUGCCUUAAUAGAUUUAUCUACUGGGUGUAUCAGGAUGAUUUCUCAGAUGCAUAUCAUAGGGAGCCCAAAGAAACUUAAUAACUGUGGGUUAAAUUAUCAACUUUGGUAUUUAUGUCCUUUAAGCCAAGUUUCUUUACUGUUACCAUCCUACAUUUGUGUGUGGAUGUUUUGUUUUUGUUUUUAUACAGCACCCAAUGUACUUUCAUGCAUAUCAUUUAAUCUUGCCUGUCAUGUAAUUGAUAAUAAAUACUUGAGGAAUAAAUGAAAAACUGCAUCAUAUACAUAUAAUGGUUUUCAUUUUAAAGAUAAAGAAGCUGGAGUAAAGAUGAAAACAAAGGUAUUAUCUUGCAAUAAAAAUAUCUGGGUUCAUAUCCCAUUUCUGAAAUUAUGUGCUCUUUGGAAAAUUUCUCUUUUUGAGUCUCUGUUUCUCAUGUGUAAAAUGGGGAUCUUAUUCUCCUUGAGGGUUAUUGGGAUGAUUGAAUAAAGUAAUCUACACGAGCACAUCCGAUGUGGCUCAGUGGUUAAGGGUCGACCCUGGAUCCAAGAGGUUGCCGGUUUGAUUCCUGGUCAGGGCACAUGCCCGGGUUGUGGGUUUGAUCCCUGGUGGGGGCUGUGUAGAAGGCAGCUGACC